AACGUAGGAGACGAGCGUUAUCCGGAAUUACUGGGCGUAAAGCGCGUGUAGGCGGAAGUGUAAGUCUUUUGUGAAAGCUCCUGGCUAAACUGGGAGAGGUCGAAAGAUACUGCACAUCUGGAGUAUGGGAGAGGGGUGUGGAAUUCCGGGUGUAGUGGUGAAAUGCGUAGAUAUCCGGAGGAACACCAGUGGCGAAGGCGGCACCCUGGCCCAAGACUGACGCUAAGACGCGAAAGAAUGGGGAGCGAACGGG
rnacentral:rRNA from 1 species